CCCGCCCCUUGGCUCCGCCCCCGUUUCUCGCGUUCCAAAGCUGCCCGCGCUUUUCGCGCUUCGCCUCAGCGAGCGCUCGCUUCGAGAAGCAGCUUAGGGUAAAGGCACAGACACCUAAGCAGGCGUGAGAUCGUUGUGACGCCAGGAGGGAGACCCCAAAAGGCCGCAGUCGAAGGAAGCCCGAGUCCCGGCUGCUGUCGGCCUUCCCUGAGGGCUUUGGCUGGGCUCCUCGGGCCGCGCGCCAUCUGAGCGCAUCCCGCCUCACGGACCUUGUCCUGCCGCGCCGACCCGGUCACCCUGUUGCCAGAAUGAACUCAAGUGGGAAAAUGGCUCAGCAGGACCAGGCAUACAUAGCACAGACCACUUCUGUAGUUUCACUUGCCAUUGACCUCUAGAUAAUUCCACAGCUGUGGAGGACAGUUCUAUGGAAGCUCAGAUCACCUGGCAGCAUCUGACCUGAAGAGCAGCAGUACAGAGUUCCGUUCUGUGUUCUUCUCUCAGGACCUUUAUGAGCUUCCAGAGUCUGCUUGGCUCCUGCAGAACCCUCUUGGAAAUGUCGAGGUGUUGAUGUGCCUGAGGUCAGUCUCAACCAACAGAGGAUUGAAGCCUGUGGAUGAAUGCCCCAGCCCCUUGUCCUUCAGGAAAUCAGUGCUCUUGGUUUUUGGGAAUUUGGACUCAGAGUGGGACUUCCACCAUCACCCCGUGAUUAUCAGGCCUUUGGACUCUGACUGAACUACACCGCUGGUAAUCCUGGUUCUCCAGCUUGCAGAUGGCAGAUCAUGCAACUUCUCAGCCUCCACAACAAAUGGGCCCUGUAAAUUGUAGCUGGUCCUGGGGGCCAGUGCUGGCCUGAGGCAGCCGAAGUCCUUCCUGUAGCACACUGCCUCUUCCAUUGUCCAGCAUACUGUGAGUAUGUGUUUUCCUUUUUUGCUAUAUACUAUGGUCUGAAAGACGUCAGAAAGCAGUGCUCUAAAUUAAAACAUAUACGCUUGAGAAGUGGUCUUCAAGUGUGAUAGUUUUGAAUACCCACCACUGGAGAUAUCUGGCAAAGCCUAGAGACAUUUUUAGUUGUCAAGCCUGGGGAAAUGCUAUUAGCAUCUGGUCGGUUGAGGCCAGAGAUGGUGCUAAACAUUUUAUAAUGCUUAGGACAGCCUCCACCACAAAAAAUCAUCGGGCCCCAAAUCUCAACAGUGCUGAGGUAGGGAAACCCUGUGCUAGAGCCCAGCCACUCAAAGGUUACCCUUUCACGAACGGCCUCAGAAACACCCAGUAGCUGUUGGAAAUUUGGAACCUCAGGCUACACCCAGAUCCACUUGAGUCAUAAUUGGCCUUUUAACAAGAUCCUCAGGUGACUCACACACACAUCAAAGUUUGAGAAGCACUGGGCCAGAAUGAAACUUCUCUGGUUUAGGCUUAAAUGUCUGUGGGUUUAUGACUGGAGGGCUACCCUUGGAGCUGGAGAUCACAAAUUUGGAUCCAACAGGGAGCGUAUGGCCCGAAGGAGGAAAACCUGAAAACCAGCUCAGUACAGGGCAAUGGGUCUAGAAGGCAAAGCAGGAGAGGAAAUGGGGGAGGAGUCCCCAGGGGGAGCCACCAGUGGUUUCUCAGACAUGAGCACCUGAGGAGGGCUUGAAGCCCCUUGCAUGUGGCCAAGUGCGUGAGAUGGGCAGGGAGGUUUCUAAAGGAACCGCAACUGUGAACACACACGUUUCUGACCAUCAGAGGCUGGACUUGGGAUGUGGACAUGACCAGAGUCUGCCUGUAUUACUUGGCUGGGGUCCAUAACAAAGUACCAGGAGCUGCAUGGCUUAAACAACAGAAAUUUAUUUUCUUACAGUUCUGCAAGUUGAGAGUCCAAGAUCAAGGUGUCUUCAGGGUUGGUUUCUUCUGAGAGCUCUCUCCUGGGCUUGCGGAUGCCCUUUUUCUCCCUCUCAUCUUUACGUGGUGUUCCUUUGGGUUUGUGGCCUCAUCUCCUUUUCUUACAAGAAGACCAGUCAUAAUAGAUUAGGGACCACUCACGUGCUCGUUUUAACUUAAUUACCUCUUUAAAGACCUUAUCUCCAAAUGCAGUUGUACACUGAGUGUGGGGGGGUGGGGCCUUAACAUAAGACUUUGGGGAGGGGGACACAGUUCAAAUCACUGUCCUCUAGUUCCCAGAUCCUCUUCAACGUCAAAGUCUUCCGUUCAUCUCUCUUGGACUCUCUUAGCCUCCAACUUCGUUCCUUUUCGCUUAUGACCCUCCCCACUCAGAGUUGAGGUUCAAUAGCACCUGGGAAGUCCAGCACCCUGCUGAAUAUUCAACAUACGAACUCUAACCUCUUGAAAUACAAAGCGAAUUGUGAACCAGACUCAGCUCUUCCCUCCAGAAGGCAUUUCCUUCCCUUCGUAGGUACACCACAGCAUAUCUAGGGCCCCCAGGUUAACCAGGGCAGUUAUUAGUAAAUGGUUAGAGCAUGGUUGCCUCAAGGUUCUGAUAGAUAGGUCAAAGGAAUAUGAAUGCAAAUGCAGUUUUUAAAGCACACUGUAGCUAUUGUUGGGUAUAAUGGAAAGUCAUUAAGCAUAUUAGCUGCUGAUUUUAUAAUUAAGUGCUAACAUUUUCUGGAUGCUAACCUAAGUAACAGGAGAUAUUGGCCAUUUGCAAAACAUGUUUAAACAAAAAAGAUUCAGAGACAAGGAGUGCUUCUCAUCUUAAUUAUUUUUUUGCAUCAUAAAAACCUCAUGAACAAUGCUUUUGCAAAGCAUAAUGGAUGUGGAGCAGCUGCAGAAAACAUCUCACUUCUUUUGUUUGGAAACAAUGUUUUACAUUUGGAAAGAAAAAUUCUGUCCAGCUGAUUUUAUUCCAAGGAGAGAGCAAUUCUCUGCAAUCUAUCCAUGUCCAUCAAACACUGGUAAAAAUUUAGAGGAAAUGCUUUGAAAUUGUACUUGUUUUCUGUCAGUGCUGCCUCUUCAAGGUCUCUAGGUGGUGCUGAGUCUGCGGAGGACGGUGGACUAUUGAGCAUCACUAAUUGUCAAGGAUUAGACUUUUAUGCUUUCUUGAGCGGAGGGAUAACUUCUUGUUCUCUUCCCUUUUUUGGAGCAAUUCAUAGACCAUCAGCACCAGCCCAGACUCAUUUUUGCAGAUGACUAAAACAAAAUUAUGGAUCAUAUCAUAUCAGGAGAACUACUUCAGUGCUUAAGUUGAUCAUCAUACUUAGGCAGGCAAGACAUCUUACCUUUCCAUCUUCUUAGAUGUGACUCUAUGGCCAAUGAACUCUAUGGGCCUAUCAGUGGCCAAUAUAAGCGUGGAUGCUCUGAGUCACAGCAUUCCCACCUCUCUGAAUUGACCCCUUCAGAGGACAAGCCAUCUGUCUUUAACCUGUGUCAGUCAGCAAUUGCCAUGUAACAAAUCAUCUCAAAAUUUAGUGGCUGAAAUAACAACCAUAUGCUGCUUCUCGUAAGUAACUGGUGACUGGGUGGUUCUGCUGAUCUGGGUUGGGUGCAGUUGAUCUGGACUGGGCUUGCUAAUAUAUCUGUAGUCAAUUAGCAGGUCUACUUGAGGCCAGUUAGUCUAGCAUGAUCUUUAUUGGGAUAAGUUAGUUUUUCCCAAGUGUCUCUCCCAUCCCUCCUAUAGGUGAGCCUGAGCAUGUUCUCAUGGUGGUGGCAUGGGUCCAGGAGAGGAAACAGAAUUUCUCAGGUAUUUUAUCAGGCCUCUGGCUCCAUUAGCCAAAGCAAGUCACUGUCCACAGACUAGAUUCAAUUACCCCGAGUCUGACUGAGUCAGAUUGGCCUGAGUCAAAGUAACUGCUGUUGCUGUGCUCAGCUUCCGUCCCUGCCCCAGAGGGAUGAGAUCUUGCUCUUUGUGACUCCCCAACUCCAGACUGGGGUACUGGCAUGGAAAGAGUCACGAGACCAUGGUAACUGAGGGGAAGAGGCCGGAAUUGCAUCCUGGAGCAUGGUAGACAUGGGGAGGACUCAGUGCAUGUGGAAACAGAGCUGUGUUCCCAAGAUGACAACUUAGUUAAACUCAGUUUUACCGUUGCCCCACACCUCCCACCAGAAGGGCCCUUGGGUCUUACUCCAUGUUGGUAUUUGCCUCAAUUACACCUGAGUUCUUUCAGCUGCCUUAGUUGGUGCUAACAAAUAGCCUUGGGUAAACUGGAGAAAACCGAACUGUCAACCUACAGGUAUCUGAGCAAUAGCCUUGGCUCAAGAUAAUGAGCCCUUUGGUUACCUUCCUCUGUGUGAGGGAGGUUUUGGACUUCUUGGUCCACACGUUGAAUUUAAUCCAUUCACCCAGGGAGUGUUAGAUCUGGGAAGGCUGGGUAUGUGUUCUGCUUACUUGCUCAAUGUCUAUUUAUCCCUCAAAAUCUUACCUAGUUGUUCCCUUCUCUAUUAAGUCUUCCUUGAACAGGUACAAUUACCCAACCCCUUGUGUAUAACCCAUUGCACUUACACAAUAGACUUUUUAUUCAUCUUUCAUUCGUCUGUUUACCAAACAUAUAUUGAAUGCUUUCUAUGUACCAGGCACUGAGUAAACAACCUUAGAACAAAGGCAAGGUCCCCACUCUCAUGGAGCUUACAUUUGGAAGAGAGGGUUCCAUAAUGAAUAAAUAACCAAAUAAAUAUAUACUGUAUCAGAUGCUAAGAAAAACAGUAAGAUUGUGUAAGGGGACAGACAGUGAUGGUAUGUGUGUGGGGAGGGAGGGGGUCCAGGUUAGACUGUGGGUCAGGAAGCCCAUUCUCCAGGUUGCAUUUGAGCAGAGAUCUGAACCACGUGUGGGUGUGGGCUGCAUGGGCAUUUAGAGGAGAACUACCCAGGGAGAAGAAGGCUCAGCACAUGGUGCAGGCUUGGCUCUUUUGAAGAACAGCAAGGAAGCUGGUGGCAUUUGAAUGAAGAGGGAGAGAGUGGUAGAGCAUGAGAUCAGAGAACCAGCAGGGCUUCUUGCUGUGUCAGACCUUGUAGUCGAGGGAAACAACUUUUGAAUUUGUUCUAAGUGGGAUUGUAUGUGUGGGAGAUAGAAUAGUGGCCUCACGAGAUGACCAUGUCCUAACCCUUGGAACGUGUGGCUUGUUAUCCUUACAUGGUGAAGGAAAUUGCAGAUGUGAUUAAGCCAAGAAUCUUGAGAUGGAGAUUAUCCUGGGUUAUCAGUGCAGGUCCAGUGGAAUCACUAGGGCCCUUAUAAAAGGGAGGCUGGAAGAUCAGAUUCAGAGAAAGAGAUGGGAUGACAGAAGUAGAGACUGAGGUUGCAGGGCCAUGAGCCAAGGAAUGGAGGCAGCCUCUACAAGUUAGCAAAGGCAACGAAUAGAUCCCCUGAAACCUCCAGAAAGGAACAAAAUCUGUGGACACCUUAAUUUUAGGCCGUAAGACCCAUUUCAAACUUCUGACCUCCAGAACAAUGAGAUAAUCAAUUUGUGUCACUUCAAGUCACUAAGUUUGUGGUAGUAUUUUCCAACAGGAAGUCACUGGAGAGUUUUGAGGAGAAUUAAGAUAUGGAUGCCUUACAGUUAAAAAAAAAAAAAA